rnacentral:rRNA from 1 species
AGUGGGGGAUAACGUAGCGAAAGUUACGCUAAUACCGCAUAUGCCCUGAGGGGGAAAGGAGGGGAUCGCAAGACCUUUCGCUUUCGGAGUGGCCGAUAUCAGAUUAGCUAGUUGGUGGGGUAAAGGCCUACCAAGGCGACGAUCUGUAGCUGGUCUGAGAGGACGACCAGCCACACUGGAACUGAGACACGGUCCAGACUCCUACGGGAGGCAGCAGUGGGGAAUUUUGGACAAUGGGCGCAAGCCUGAUCCAGCCAUGCCGCGUGAGUGAAGAAGGCCUUCGGGUUGUAAAGCUCUUUCAGCCGGAAAGAAAUCGUACAGGCUAAUACUCUGUAUGGAUGACGGUACCGGAAGAAGAAGCACCGGCUAACUACGUGCCAGCAGCCGCGGUAAUACGUAGGGUGCGAGCGUUAAUCGGAAUUACUGGGCGUAAAGCGUGCGCAGGCGGUUUUUUAAGACAGAUGUGAAAUCCCCGGGCUUAACCUGGGAACUGCAUUUGUGACUGGAAGACUAGAGUACGGCAGAGGGGGGUAGAAUUCCA